AGCGUAGACGGUUAUUUAAGUCUGAAGUGAAAGCCCUCAGCUCAACUGAGGAAUUGCUUUGGAAACUGGAUGACUUGAGUGCAGUAGAGGAAAGUGGAACUCCAUGUGUAGCGGUGAAAUGCGUAGAUAUAUGGAAGAACACCAGUGGCGAAGGCGGCUUUCUGGACUGUAACUGACGUUGAGGCUCGAAAGUGUGGGUAGCAAACA
rnacentral:rRNA from 1 species